rnacentral:rRNA from 1 species
AGAGUUUGAUCCUGGCUCAGGAUGAACGCUAGCUACAGGCUUAACACAUGCAAGUCGAGGGGAAACGAUAUUGGAAGCUUGCUUCCGAUAGGCGUUGACCGGCGUACGGGUGAGUAACGCGUAUCCAACCUGCCCACCACUUGGGGAUAACCUUGCGAAAGUAAGACUAAUACCCAAUGACGUCUCUAGAAGACAUCUGAAAGAGAUUAAAGAUUUAUCGGUGAUGGAUGGGGAUGCGUCUGAUUAGCUUGUUGGCGGGGUAACGGCCCACCAAGGCGACGAUCAGUAGGGGUUCUGAGAGGAAGGCCCCCCACAUUGGAACUGAGACACGGUCCAAACUCCUACGGGCAGCA